rnacentral:rRNA from 1 species
GACGAACGCUGGCGGCGUGCUUAACACAUGCAAGUCGAACGGAAAGGCCCUGCUUUUGUGGGGUGCUCGAGUGGCGAACGGGUGAGUAACACGUGAGUAACCUGCCCUUUACUUUGGGAUAACUUCAGGAAACUGGGGCUAAUACCCGAUAUGAGCUCCUUCUGCAUGGUGGGGGUUGGAAAGUUUCGGCGGUUGGGGAUGGACUCGCGGCUUAUCAGCUUGUUGGUGGGGUAGUGGCUUACCAAGGCUUUGACGGGUAGCCGGCCUGAGAGGGUGACCGGCCACAUUGGGACUGAGAUACGGCCAAGACUGCUACGGGAGGCAGCAGUGGGGAAUAUUGCACAAUGGGCGGAAGCCUGAUGCAGCAACGCCGCGUGCGGGAUGACGGCCUUCGGGUUGUAAACCGCUUUCGCCUGUGACGAAGCGUGAGUGACGGUAAUGGGUAAAGAAGCACCGGCUAACUACGUG